ACCUCUCACCACCCCUGGCGUGUGUCCUGCCGCUCCAACCAACAUUCGCGGACCGCCAACUACCCCUUUCCUUCCUUUCUACUUCGGGCAAAUCUACUGUUCCACGCGAGACGCGCUCCUUCUUGUUGCCCUAACUCGCGCGUUUCCUCCUUCCCCCCGCCUCUUCUCUCUUCCCCCUCCCUCUCUUUCGCCCUUGCCUAUCGUUUUGCUUUCGGGUAUGUUCCCCUUUCGUUGAAGGUAGCACGAAUCUACGCGCUCAUCCGAUAGAAACCGAUAAGAAACGUUCGACAUGCACACGAGGGAUUCCCACCAGGGACGAUCGGAACCCGGUAUUUGAUUCGAAUAGUUGAUUCAAUGAUUCAACGAAUUCUUUGGAGGAUGUAAAUAUUGCGGUCGGAUCAUUUUCAGCCCAUUCGAUUAGAAAAGCCGGUAAUAAUGAUAAUUAGAUGAUAAAAAUUAGUUUGAAUACAUCGAUACGAGAUAUCUUCACUCGUGAAUUAAUCAUUUGUUUAGAUUAUUCGAAAUUCUUAGAUUUAAAAUAUCCAAGGAGAACGGACGCGAGGAGAUUAUUGGAUGAAGGAAGAUGGAGAUAAAUGAUAUUCGUGGCUCGAAAAAUUUGAAGUUGGUGAAAAUUAUGAUCGUGGAUCUGGGACGAAUAAAUACUAAGCAGGUGUCGUAAAGAUUUGGAAGGCGAUGAAAAGCGAGCGACGAGGAGUCAAGGCCGCCGACGGAGGUGGCACCAAGGGGGUGAAUUCCAAGUUCAGGACCUUUCGAAGGAUCCUGGCUCGCAACGGGACACCAUAGGGAGAUGUUACACGAGGAGCACGUAUCACGAGAAACGGUCCACGUCCCGUGGGAUGAUCCACAUUCGUCUCGACACAUACAAC
rnacentral:lncRNA from 1 species